rnacentral:rRNA from 1 species
CUACGGGGUGCUCCAGUGAGGAAUAUUGCACAAUGGGGGGAACCCUGAUGCAGCAACGCCGCGUGGAGGAUGACGCAUUUCGGUGUGUAAACUCCUUUUAUAUGUCAAGAAAAUGACGGUAGCAUAUGAAUAAGCACCGGCUAACUCCGUGCCAGCAGCCGCGGUAAUACGGAGGGUGCAAGCGUUACUCGGAAUCACUGGGCAUAAAGGACGCGUAGGCGGGUUGGAAAGUCAGGUGUGAAAUCCUACAGCUUAACUGUAGAACUGCACUUGAAACUUCUAAUCUAGAGUAUGGGAGGGGGAGAUGGAAUUAGUGGUGUAGGGGUAAAAUCCGUAGAUAUCACUAGGAAUACCUAAAGCGAAGGCGAUCUCCUGGAACAUUACUGACGCUAAGGCGUGAAAGCGUGGGGAGCAAACAGGAUUAGAUACCCUUGUAGUC